rnacentral:rRNA from 1 species
UGAAUUGACGGGGCCCGCACAAGCGGUGGAGUAUGUGGUUUAAUUCGAUGCAACGCGAAGAACCUUACCUGGUCUUGACAUCCCGGAGACCCUUAGGAAACUAGGGGUGCUUCCAUCUGGAAGAAUCUGGAGACAGGUGCUGCAUGGCUGUCGUCAGCUCGUGUCGUGAGAUGUUGGGUUAAGUCCCGCAACGAGCGCAACCCUUGCCUUUAGUUGCCAGCAGUUCGGCUGGGCACUCUAAAGGGACUGCCGGUGUUAAACCGGAGGAAGGUGGGGAUGACGUCAAGUCCUCAUGGCCUUUAUGACCAGGGCUACACACGUACUACAAUGGCCGAUACAAAGGGCAGCGACACUGCGAGGUGAAGCCAAUCCCGUAAAAUCGGUCUCAGUCCGGAUUGGAGUCUGCAACUCGACUCCAUGAAGUUGGAAUCGCUAGUAAUCGUGGAUCAGCAUGCCACGGUGAAUACGUUCCCGGGCCUU